UUGCAGCAUUUCCAAGAUGGCCGUCGUGCCCAGCAGCAUAUCGAGAGCUCGUGGAAACAGCUGGAGUCUAGUAAACGCCGGUUUGAACGCGACUGCAAGGAGGCCGAGCGAGCUCGACACGUCUCUGACAGAAUCGACCUGGAGAACAAGACGGACGGAGAAAAGCGCUGCUCACUGAAGGCUCGACAGACGGCUCAACAGAAACAACAAGCUGCUGAAGAAUCGAGGAAGGACUAUGUGACCAGUUUAAGCCAGUUUAACCAGGACCAGCACCAGCACUACCACACUCUGGUACCUGUUAUAUACCAGCGUAUUCAGGACAUGGAGGAGCGUCGUAUUGAA